CCUACGGGAGGCAGCAGUGGGGAAUAUUGGACAAUGGGGGCAACCCUGAUCCAGCCAUGCCGCGUGUGUGAAGAAGGCCCUCGGGUUGUAAAGCACUUUCAGUGAGGAAGAACGCCUGGUGGUUAAUACCCAUCAGGAAAGACAUCACUCACAGAAGAAGCACCGGCUAACUCCGAGCCAGCAGCCGCGGUAAUACGGAGGGUGCGAGCGUUAAUCGGAAUUACUGGGCGUAAAGCGCGCGUAGGUGGCUUGAUAAGCCGGUUGUGAAAGCCCCGGGCUCAACCUGGGAACGGCAUCCGGAACUGUCAAGCUAGAGUGCAGGAGAGGAAGGUAGAAUUCCCGGUGUAGCGGUGAAAUGCGUAGAGAUCGGGAGGAAUACCAGUGGCGAAGGCGGCCUUCUGGACUGACACUGACACUGAGGUGCGAAAGCGUGGGUAGCAAACAGGAUUAGAUACCCUAGUAGUC
rnacentral:rRNA from 1 species